rnacentral:rRNA from 1 species
GGCCAUUGCUAUCAGGGUUUGACUAAGCCAUGCGAGUCGAGAGGUGUAAGACCUCGGCAUACUGCUCAGUAACACGUGGUUAACCUGCCCUAAGGUGGAGAAUACUCCCGGGAAACUGGGGCUAAUGCUCCAUAGUGGAUAUGUCCUGGAAUGGUAUAUCCUCGAAAGAUCCGUCGCCUUAGGAUGGGACUGCGUCCGAUUAGGUUGUUGGCGGGGUAACGGCCCACCAAGCCUUUUAUCGGUACGGGUUGUGGGAGCAAGAUCCCGGAGAUGGAUUCUGAGACAUGAAUCCAGGCCCUACGGGGCGCAGCAGGCGCGCAAACUUUACAAUGCGAGCAAUCGUGAUAAGGAAACCCUGAGUGCCUGUCGAUGCAGGCUGUUCAUAUAUCUAAAUCAUAUGUGAAGAAAGGGCAGGGCAAGACCGGUGCCAGCCGCCGCGGUAAUACCGGCUGCUCGAGUGAUGGCCACUAUUACUGGGUUUAAAGCGUCCGUAGCUUGACUGUUAGGUCUCUUGGGAAAUCUUCGCGCUCAACGUGAAGGCGUCUAAGAGAUACCGGCAGUCUUGGAACUGGGAGAGGUAAACCGUACUUCGGGGGUAGGAGUGAAAUCUUGUAAUCCUCGAGGGACGACCUAUGGCGAAGGCAGUUUACCAGAACAGCUUCGACAGUGAGGGACGAAAGCUGGGGGAGCAAACGGGAUAGAUACCCCGGUAGUCCCAGCCGUAAACAAUGUGCGUUAGGUGUGUCGGUAA